GACACAAUCACAAAGCAGUCAUUGGAGCUGUAUGAAAUGAAGCAGAUACUGGAGAGAUUGGUCCAGAAUCAAACUGAAAAUCAAGGGAAUGAUCAUACUGAUCAGAAUGACAAUGAGUAUGUUGUUCAAGAACAACAUACUGAACAACAACCUACUGAAGAACAACAUACUGAACAUCAAGAGGAAACCCAAAGGGAACAUCAAGAGGAAUGUGGUAGUGAUAUAAGCAUAGACGGUAGGGAUGCAGACUUGCUAAUGAC